rnacentral:rRNA from 1 species
CCCUUAGAUGUUCUGGGCCGCACGCGCGCUACACUGAUGCAUUCAACGAGCCUAUCCUUGACCGACAGGUCCGGGUAAUCUUUGAAUCUGCAUCGUGACGGGGAUAGAUUAUUGUAAUUAUUAAUCUUCAACGAGGAAUGCCUAGUAGGCGCAAGUCAUCAGCUUGCGUCGAUUACGUCCCUGCCCUUUGUACACACCGCCCGUCGCUCCUACCGAUUGGGUGUGCUGGUGAAAUGUUCGGAUCGGCCGUUUGUCGCGGUUUCCGCGGCUCGUGGCUGAGAAGUUCAUUAAACCCUCCCACCGAGAGGAAGGAGAAGUCGUAACA